AUUUGUUCCAAAGUCUAUAAUUUUCCGUUUUUGUCGUGGUGUGGGAAUUUGGAAAUUUGGAUUUUGUCUGAAUUUGGAUGGAUUUUAAUUUGGAACUAAACAAAUCAACAUGUUUAGUUAUUUCAGAAUAAGGUGAAUACAGAAAAACUCUCCCUUGAAUGUGGACUCCACUUCUUUCCUGCUCUUCAGAUGAAAGCCUGUGUCGCUCGUUACCCAUAGAGUUGUAGCCAGUUGAAUCCUUCAACACAGUGAUGUAAAUAAAACCCUUUUAAAUGGAAAACAUUUUAAUGGAAAACAGUUUAUUCCUUGGAUUGCAGAAGGAUUGCUAAUGGAACCACCGAUCUUUUCACAGAAAAUUUGGAUUCAACCAUUUAAAAUACUGUUUUUUACCACAGGACUUCCAGGAUCUCCAGGAAGAGCUGGUGAAAAGGGGGAGAGAGGAGUUCUAGGUAAUGAGAAGCCAUAGUAGUGACACUUUUGCCAAAAUAGCAGCCAGUAGACAAUUACCCUUUAAUACACACCACAAUACAGUCUACCCAUCACCCCAUGUCAUAGAGAACAAUGAGUGUAUGACACGGGGCGAGGGACACAUAUUUCGUUGUGUACUCUUGUAAUGUCAGCGUAUUCCCCUUUGUCACAGUGUCCCCUCUGUUUGCAUCCUCACUGUGUAUUGCUUCUGUCUGUCUUUCUGGUUACUAUGUUUUAUUGACUCUUUCAGAACUUUUUUGUUUUGCUUUUUUUUCUGUUAGGAUCAAAAGGAAACCCGGGGCCAAAAGGUGACCAAGGACCUCCAGG